rnacentral:rRNA from 1 species
GACGAACGCUGGCGGCGCGCUUUAUACAUGCAAGUCGAACGAGAAGCCAGAGCUUGCUCUGGUGGAAAGUGGCGAACGGGUGAGUAACACGUGAGAAACCUGCCCAAAGACUGGGAUAAGCCGAGGAAACUUGGUCUAAUACCGGAUACCUUCUUUUAUCACAUGUUAAAAAGAAGAAAUGCUCCGGCGCUUUGGGAUGGUCUCGCGACCUAUCAGCUUGUUGGUGAGGUAAAAGCUCACCAAGGCAUCGACGGGUAGCUGGUCUGAGAGGAUGUCCAGCCACAUUGGGACUGAGAUACGGCCCAAACUCCUACGGGAGGCAGCAGUAGGGAAUCUUGCACAAUGAGGGAAACCUUGAUGCAGCGACGCCGCGUGCGGGACGAAGGCCCUAGGGUUGUAAACCGCCUUCAGUAGGGACGAAAGUGACGGUACCUACAGAAGAAGACCCCGGCAAACUAUGUGCCAGCAGCCGCGGU